rnacentral:lncRNA from 1 species
UUAAGAGACAUGAAAAAUACCAUGGUCUGUAAGAGGAAUGCAGAUCAGGAAUGUGGACACUUGACUGGAGUCCAGGCUGGGAACAGGCCAUGGUGGCCGAGGGAGGCACUGGCUGGCGAGUUCCCAGGAAGAAUCAUCUGCCACCAAGCUCUACUGAUUGUAAGAAAUUUGGUGAUGUUCGUGCCUGUGCAGAAUGUUGGUGCAAAAGCAAAGGAGAGGAGCCCCUGGCAUGACUUAGUGUGAGUUAGCUACACCACGG